UACGUAGGGUGCAAGCGUUGUCCGGAAUUAUUGGGCGUAAAGAGCUCGUAGGCGGCUUGUCGCGUCUGCUGUGAAAUCCCGGAGCUCAACUCCGGGCCUGCAGUGGGUACGGGCAGGCUUGAGGUAGGUAGGGGAGACUGGAAUUCCUGGUGUAGCGGUGAAAUGCGCAGAUAUCAGGAGGAACACCAGUGGCGAAGGCGGGUAACUGGACUGCAACUGACGCUGAGGCACGAAAGUGUGGGGAUCAAACAGGAUUAGAUA
rnacentral:rRNA from 1 species